CACGUAGGGUGCGAGCGUUGUCCGGAAUUAUUGGGCGUAAAGAGCUCGUAGGCGGCGUGUCGCGGCGGCCGUGAAAACCUGCAGCUUAACUGUGGGCUUGCGGUCGAUACGGGCAUCACUGGAGUUCGGCAGGGGAGACUGGAAUUCCUGGUGUAGCGGUGAAAUGCGCAGAUAUCAGGAGGAACACCGGUGGCGAAGGCGGGUCUCUGGGCCGAUACUGACGCUGAGGAGCGAAAGCGUGGGGAGCGAACAGG
rnacentral:rRNA from 1 species